UCCUUGUUAGUAUAGUGGACAGUAUCACCGCCUGGCACGCGGGGGGCUGGGGUUCGAUUCCCCGACGGGGAG